rnacentral:rRNA from 1 species
CGCGUAGGCGGCCCUGUAAGUCCGCUGUGAAAGUCAAAGGCUCAACCUUUGAAAGCCGGUGGAUACUGCAGGGCUAGAGUCCGGAAGAGGCGAGUGGAAUUCCUGGUGUAGCGGUGGAAUGCGCAGAUAUCAGGAGGAACACCAAUAGCGAAGGCAGCUCGCUGGGACGGUACUGACGCUAAGGCGCGAAAGCGUGGGGAGCGAACA